rnacentral:lncRNA from 1 species
GUAUUAUGGUGAAGUGUCUCUGUGGUCAUGCAGAGUUCAGAAAGUGAUAUGUGCACAUUAUAGGUAGCAGAUUUCUCCAAACUUCUCUUCCUUAGAUAAGCGUUAUACAGUUAAUUCUUUUGAUUAGCAUUUUCAUACUUUUGUCACUCAAAUCAUUAUCUGAAUAAAGAAAUAUCACCAAUGCCAUUAAGCCUGUAUGAAUCAAACUUGGAAGAAAGUUGAUCAGAGAGUUUUAUGAUCCUCGUUUUAUAUGA